CUAUUUAUUGCCGGGCUGGAUUGUGUAAUGUAGUCACAUGACAACUGAGAAAGGCUUAGCUACCAUGGCACAAAAAUGUUGAUUAAUAGGGUUAGAAAUGAAAAUAGGAAUACGGGUAAAAUAGCAGUAGAAUAUUGCAAAUGACCAUAUAUGCAAGUGGACAACCGGGUCACACGGUCAUUCUUAUUAGGAGUUGAUUAUUAG